UACAGGGGGGGCAAGCGUUGUUCGGAAUUACUGGGCGUAAAGGGUCUGUAGGUGGCCAACUAAGUCAUCCGUGAAAUCCCUCAGCUUAACUGGGGAACUGCGUGUGAUACUGGUCGGCUUGAGUGCAGGAGAGGAACGCGGAAUUCCAGGUGUAGCGGUGAAAUGCGUAGAUAUCAGGAGGAACACCGAUGGCGAAGGCAGGUCUCUGGGCCACUACUGACGCUGAGAAGCGAAAGCAUGGGGAGCGAACAGG
rnacentral:rRNA from 1 species